CCUACGGGAGGCUGCAGUGGGGAAUUUUGGACAAUGGGGGCAACCCUGAUCCAGCCAUGCCGCGUGAGUGAAGAAGGCCUUCGGGUUGUAAAGCUCUUUCAGCAGGAACGAAACGGUGGCCACUAAUACUGGCUACUAAUGACGGUACCUGAAGAAGAAGCACCGGCUAACUACGUGCCAGCAGCCGCGGUAAUACGUAGGGUGCGAGCGUUAAUCGGAAUUACUGGGCGUAAAGCGUGCGCAGGCGGUUCCAUAAGACAGAUGUGAAAUCCCCGGGCUUAACCUGGGAACUGCGUUUGUGACUGUGGGACUCGAGUGUGGCAGAGGGGGGUGGAAUUCCACGUGUAGCAGUGAAAUGCGUAGAGAUGUGGAGGAACACCGAUGGCGAAGGCAGCCCCCUGGGUCAACACUGACGCUCAUGCACGAAAGCGUGGGGAGCAAACAGGCUUAGAUACCCCGGUAGUC
rnacentral:rRNA from 1 species